GAUCAUGGCUCAGAUUGAACGCUGGCGGCAGGCUUAACACAUGCAAGUCGAACGGUAGCAGGAGGAAGCUUGCUUUCUUGCUGACGAGUGGCGGACGGGUGAGUAAUGCUUGGGAAUCUGGCUUAUGGAGGGGGAUAACUACAGGAAACUGUAGCUAAUACCGCGUAGUAUCGGAAGAUGAAAGUGCGGGACCGCAAGGCCGCAUGCCAUGAGAUGAGCCCAAGUGGG
rnacentral:rRNA from 1 species